rnacentral:rRNA from 1 species
CGGUGAAUACGUUCCCGGACCUUGCACACACCGCCCGUCAAGCCAUGGAAGCUGGGUGUACCUAAAGUCGGUAACCGCAAGGAGCGUCCUAGGGUAAAACCGAUAACUGGGGCU